rnacentral:tRNA from 1 species
GCCAGCGUAGUAUAUUGGUAUUACAGCGGCUUCCAAACCCGAAGAACACAGUUCGAUUCUGUGCUCUGGUG